GGGGCUCUACUUCACCCUCGCCCCGUGGGGCUCUACUUCACCCUCUCCCCGUGGGGCUCUACUUCACCCUCGCCCCGUGGGGCUCUACUUCACCAUCGCCCCGUGGGGCUCUACUUCACCCUCGCCCCGUGGGGCUCUACUUCACCCUUGCCCCGUGGGGCUCUACUUCACCCUCGCCCCCUGGGGAAACAGGGGAAAACAUGGCAGCAGUACAACAGAACACAGUCAGAGCAGAGGCCAGACUACAGCACACUAAAGGAUAUGAUUACUGUCUGUCUUCUCUGGUUCGGUCUCACUGCCUUCAUCUCUCCUCUCCUCUCCAUAAAGCCACUGACAGAUGAAAACCUGGGGGCUGAUGAUUUGUGGCCUAGCAGUGUGUGUGUGUGUGUGUGUGUGUGUGUGUGUGUGUGUGUGUGUGUGUGUGUGUGUGUGUGUGUGUGUGUGCGUGCGUGCGUGCGUGCGCGUGUGUGUGCGUGUGAUCUGUGGGCUCUCGGUGGCUGGCUGUGGCUGGUGUGUCUGAUCGCUGGGCUCUAGAUGGCUGGUGUGUCUGAUCGGUGGGCUCUAGAUGGCUGGUGUGUCUGAUCGGUGGGCUCUAGAUGGCUGGUGUGUCUGAUCGGUGGGCUCUAGGUGGCUGGUGUGUCUGAUCGGUGGGCUCUAGAUGGCUGGUGUGUCUGAUCGGUGGGCUCUAGAUGGCUGGUGUGUCUGAUCGGUGGGCUCUAGAUGGCUGGUGUGUCUGAUCGGUGGGCUCUAGAUGGCUGGUGUGUCUGAUCGGUGGGCUCUAGAUGGCUGGUGUGUCUGAUCGGUGGGCUCUAGAUGGCUGGUGUGUCUGAUCGGUGGGCUCUAGAUGGCUGGUGUGUCUGAUCGGUGGGCUCUAGAUGGCUGGUGUGUCUGAUCGGUGGGCUCUAGAUGGCUGGUGUGUCUGAUCGG